rnacentral:rRNA from 1 species
UACGUAGGGGGCAAGCGUUGUCCGGAUUUAUUGGGCGUAAAGAGCGUGUAGGCGGCCAGGUAGGUCAGCUGUGAAAACUCGAGGCUCAACCUCGAGACGUCGGUUGAAACCACCUGGCUAGAGUCCGGAAGAGGAGAGUGGAAUUCCUGGUGUAGCGGUGAAAUGCGCAGAUAUCAGGAAGAACACACGUGGCGAAGGCGGCUCUCUGGGACGGUACUGACGCUGAGACGCGAAAGCGUGGGGAGCGAACAGG